UACAGAGGUCCCAAGCGUUGUUCGGAUUCAUUGGGCGUAAAGGGUGCGUAGGUGGCGCGCUAAGUCAGGUGUGAAAUUUCGGAGCUUAACUCCGAAACUGCAUUUGAUACUGGCGUGCUUGAGGACUGGAGAGGAGACUGGAAUUUACGGUGUAGCAGUGAAAUGCGUAGAGAUCGUAAGGAAGACCAGUGGCGAAGGCGGGUCUCUGGACAGUUCCUGACACUGAGGCACGAAGCCCAGGGGAGCAAACGGG
rnacentral:rRNA from 1 species